GGUCAUGAUGUGCCUUUAAUGUUUACAGGUCAUCAUUGGUCUUUAAUACUAGUGAGAACUUUUCACACAUUCCAAGAUAUUGUACAUGUUAAACUAUUUAUAAACUGAGUUGACAGGUGUAUGUUUUCAUCCAAUCAGAUGAGAGUAUUGUUAUAUUGUGAUAACAUGAUCAGGUUUGGUGUGUAGUUUCAAAGUUUUAGAGUUAGAUUUUGCUUUGCUCUUUGCAAGCUUUGAUAGUUUAUUUUAUAUUUAAAGUGUUUGGAGGAGAAUUGGACUAAGGCGAACCUUGAUCCGGCACGACGCCAGUUACUACAGGAUCUACAACAUCAGGUGUAUUUACAACAACAGCAUGCAAAAAUGCAGAUGCUCAAUCAACAGGGUCAGGGCCAGAUGUCGGGGAACUCUACCCAAUCUGCAGGGAUAUUUGGUGCCCAGCCCCAAGUUGGAUCUCAAUCCCAGCAGCCUUUCUCUCCGCUGGGAACCAGUGCCGAAAUAAGGGGAAACAACCCCAACUCUCAGGGACAUUUGCCAUCAAACAUUGAACGAUUCUCACAAUUUCAUCCAAGCACAAAUGGAAUUUCACAAGUUCACCUUCAAAAGGACGACCAUUGCCAUCAGGGUUUGACCCUGGACGUUCCCAAGGUCAAAUCCACGGUAACAUUCCAUUUCCAUCAACAUUGUCUCAGAGUUCUGAAGGUGAUUCUAAUUUAUCGAAAUCGCUGGAUAUGCGCAUAAUGUUAAUGAGAAAGACAUUACAGACGUACUGUUGCGGCCCGACCUGGCGUCGUCCAUCGCAGAGGAUUUGUUAAAACAAUUUUCGCCGAGCAGUGAGCAUUCUCAUAGUGAUAUUCAAUCUAGUCAGAGCAAAGUGUCAGCUGACUUGCGAACUGGUGAAAGUAGUUCUGUUGGUGUAGGGAUACAUUCCAGUUCAUCUCAGGAUUUUAAUCUAAGUGUGCAGAGUAUAGAAAAAAUGCUGAAAUUGGACAGUGAAGUCAUUAAAUGUGAUACAGAAUCGGCCAAAUACGGCUCUCUCCCUAAAUUAAAUAUACAUAUGUCUGGGGAACAGAUUUUAAGGGCCUGUAAAGGACUUGGUAAAACUGGUAUAACUACAAGUAUUCUGGGAGACAGACCGCCGCCACGCCCUCCAAGUCCACCCAGGCCACCACUCCCCAAAGAUAUACUCAAUCCCCCAACACCUAGUGUAUAUCUGGAAUUUAAGAAGGACGCCUUCUCUCCAGAACUUCAGCAGUAUUGUCAGUCCCAACCAGUGGUGGUCAUCCGAGGUAUGGCGGUAGCACUGAAACUGGACUUGGGGUUAUUUUCCACAAAGAGUCUUGUAGAAGCCAACGAGGAACAUGGGGUUGAAGUACGUACACAGAAGAUGCAAGCACCGGAUGAGAACAGGGACCAGUUUGGCAAUAAAGUCUGGCACUGUGACAGCACUAGGAACCACACGUCUAUAGCCAAAUAUGCCCAGUACCAGGCAGCCAGUUUUCAGGAAUCAUUAAGGGAAGAACAAGAAAAGGCUAAAGGAAUAUUUAAAGAAUCUGACAGUGAUUCCAACUCAUCUAUAUCUUCUAAACUCAGACAUACCAAGCAGCAUUCUUCAGAUAGUGUCACUACCUACUGCCUUCUGUAAGAGAUUCAUCCGAGUAGUCCGGUCAUGAUAGCAGUCCGGAGUGAUGACCAGGCAGACCAAACUACAUCUCAAGGAAUUCCAAUUGUAACAGUCAUGAACACAAAUUGACAAUUGGUAUUUGAAUCGCCCUUAAUUGUAAUAUCUCUUCAUGGCAGUGGCAAGAAACAAAGAAGAAACAGAAAACUAAGGAAGAAAACAAACAGUGAUAUUGAACGUUUGAUACAAACAAAUUUUCAAAUGUUGACAGUUGUAUAUUUUGUUAUGUUAUACAGGAUUUCCAACAAAAUUUACUACAUAUUUAUUAUAAUGCAAGCAAAACAAUCAGCUUGACUGGCGAAAUGUUUUUAGCAUAUUUUAAAGGACUAUUUGUUCAGUCUUUUGCGCCUUGAAUUUAAAUAAAAACUUUAAAAAAAAUCAUCGCAUUACUUUGUUUUUUAAAAUUGUGCUUUGUUAAAUAUAAUUAUGGUGCAGGGAAUAUGUCAAGAUGUUUAUUACAUUUACUCUUACUGCAUUUUAUUGUUGAGAGAAUAUGUCUUGGAAUGUUAAAAGAAGUGCUAAAACUCGAUGCUGACUUUCCUAAUACCCUACAACUGCAAGGUAUUG